rnacentral:misc_RNA from 1 species
AAUUGUUUCCUUUUUUGUUGACUCUAGAAAGCGUCUGCGCAAACGUCUGUUUUUAAGAAACAUAAGUGACUAUGUUUCUGUACAUAAUCGCAGUAACUCGCAUAUCUAACUUUUGCAGAAGAGUUUUAAAGAUGUCAACUUGAUGAAUCCAAAAAUUUCGAAACGUUUCUAAUGGAUGAUCGAAAUUUAUAAAAAAACAACGUUCUGUAACAAAGGCCUCCAAACUUUUUCUAUAUAACUAUGGAUAUGAAUAUUGCAAUUAUUGUCAUAACUAUAUAGCCUGAAAUAAUCAACAGAAGACGUUAUACUUGUCCAUUUGGUUUUAUUAAAUGCUUUUCAAUCACUAAAUAAAACGUCUUUCCAAUUUUAGUGCAAUUUAAAAACCCGAAGCCCAACAAAUGUGAAAAAAAAGUACUUUCUCUAUUAUAUUUUGGCUCAUGAAUGUUUUAAGUAUUUUAAUGGCUUCAAAUACCUGAGAAUUUUACGAUUAAAUUACCGACGCAUUCUAUGAUAGAUUCGACUUUCUUAAACUUUUCUGGCAAGCAUUAAAAACGAAAUAAUUUAUUUACUAAAUAAAAGAUGACAAAAAUUAAAAAAAAAAAAAAAUUCCAUGGCGUGAGAUUUGAGAAGCGUGUGACUACUUCACUUAUUAUAAGUCCAUUUUAAUUUGCAUUUAAUAUAUAUUUUCAUCUCAAAUAUACAUUUCGUUUUUGAGAUAAUAAGGAUCGUAAUAGACUGUGCACUAUUUUUAAUUAAACAACUGAGUUUGAAAACUGAAAUGAAAUUCAAUUCAUAUAAAAAUAAUUUCCUAUUAUAUACUUACAGGAUUGGAAAUUAAUUGAACAACAUUUAAAAAUCAAUAAUAUUUAUUUCAUUAUCAAGGAAUGACUAAUUCCUCGAUCUUGAAUAUGCGCCUUUAUCUUUAUAAAUAACUGAUUUAAAACGAAACAUUUUGUCACCACUUUAUUUUAUUUCGUUUUAAAGAAUGGAAAAAUACCAAGAACGACACUUGUCAUUGUUUUAAAAUAUGUCUUUUGAAUGAAUACGUUCCAUAACCUAUCGUGUACAACAAGCAAACUUUUUAACUAUGGCCGAUCUAAGUUACUAACUUUUUGUUAAAUGUAGAUAAUAACUUUU